ACAAUAUUAACCUAUUUUCAAUUUGACCACAGACUUUAAGCAUUAACUAAAGUUUGACAAUAAACAAAGAGUAUUAUACAUUUACGUGUGUGACAAAUACAUGGCAGUACACAAACUGUCAUGUCAUUGGUAGGAAGCUUCCGAUUGUGAAAUGAAUGAACGAAAUGAAAUGAAAUGAAACCGUAAAUGAUUUAAUUAAAACAUAGUGUAUUCAGAUAAAGGAGGAGGAUGUAUUCGGAAGAAAAAUAUCAAAACAUUAUUCUGUUUAAAUAAUACAAAAGUUAAUUUUAUAUUUAAAUAUGGCCUAAUCAAACAAUUAUGUCUAGUCUGAGCGCAGUCUUAAAUAUAGAAAACUUUAAAAGAAAUAUUAUAGUAACUAAACAAAAAUAAAUACAAAGUAAUCUUGAA